rnacentral:rRNA from 1 species
ACAUCCAGAGAACUUAGCAGAGAUGCUUUGGUGCCUUCGGGAACUCUGAGACAGGUGCUGCAUGGCUGUCGUCAGCUCGUGUUGUGAAAUGUUGGGUUAAGUCCCGNAACGAGCGCAACCCCUAUCCUUUGUUGCCAGCGAUUCGGUCGGGAACUCAAAGGAGACUGCCGGUGAUAAACCGGAGGAAGGUGGGGAUGACGUCAAGUCAUCAUGGCCCUUACGAGUAGGGCUACACACGUGCUACAAUGGCGCAUACAAAGAGAAGCGACCUCGCGAGAGCAAGCGGACCUCAUAAAGUGCGUCGUAGUCCGGAUUGGAGUCUGCAACUCGACUCCAUGAAGUCGGAAUCGCUAGUAAUCGUAGAUCAGAAUGCUACGGUGAAUACGUUCCCGGGCCUUGUACACGCCGCCCGUCACACCAUGGGAGUGGGUUGCAAAAGAAGUAGGUAGCUUAACCUUCGGGAGGGCGUUUACCACUUUGUGAUUCAUGACUGGGGUGAAGUCGUAACAAGGUAAGCGUAGCGAG